AUGGGACCCACCCCAUUAAUGGGACCCCCCCNNNNNNNNNNNNNNNNNNNNNNNNNAUGUGUCCCUAUGGGUCUCUAUGGGGUCUCUAUGGGUCUCUAUGGGUCACUGUGGGUCUCUAUGGGGUCCCUAUGGGUCCCUAUGGGUCUCUAUGGGGUUCCUAUGGAUCCCUAUGGGUCCCUAUGGGUCCUUAUGGUUCCCAAUGGGUCUCUAUGGGUCUCUUUGGGGUCCCUAUGUGUCUCUAUGGGUCUCUAUGGGGUCCCUAUGGGUCCCUAUGGGUCCCUAUGGGUCUCUAUGGGUCCCUACGGACCCCUAUGGGUCUCUAUGGGUCCCUAUGUGUCCCUAUGGGUUUCUAUGGGACUCUAUGGGUCCCUAUGGACCCCUAUGGGUCUCUAUGGGUCCCUAUGUGUCCCUAUUGGUCACUAUGGGUCUCUAUGGGUCUCUAUGGGUCUCUAUGGAUCCCUAUUGGUCACUAUGGGUCUCUAUGGGUCUCUAUGGGUCCCUAUGGGUCCCUAUGGGACCCUAUGGGUCUCUAUGGGUCCCUAUGGGUUUCUGUGGGGUCUGUAUGUGUCUCUGUGUGUUCCUAUGGGUCCCUAUGGGAUCUCUAUGGGUCCCUAUGGGUCACUAUGGGUCUCUAUGGGUCACUAUGGAGUCUCUAUGGGGUCCCUAAGGGUCCCUAUGGGUUCCUAUGGGUUCCUAUGGGUCUCUGUGUGUUCCUAUGGGGGCUCUGUGGGUCACUAUGGGUCUCUAUGUGGUCCCUAUGUGUCCCUAUGGGUCCCUAUGGGUCUCUAUGAGUCUGUAUGGAGUCCCUAUGGGUCCCUAUGGGUCUCUAUGGGUCCCUAUGGGUCCCUAUGGGUCCUUAUGGGUCUCUGUGGGUCCCUGUGGGUCUCUAUGGGGUCUCUAUGUGUCUCUGUGUGUUCCUAUGGGUCCUUAUGGGGUCCCUAUGGGUGUCUAUGGGUCGCUAUGGGUCUCUAUGGGUCCCUAUGGGUUUGUAUGGGUCCUUAUAGGUCUCUAUGGGUCCCUAUGGGGUCUCUAUGGGGUCCUUAUGGGUCCCCAUGUGUCCCUAUGGGUCUCCAUUUGGUUCCUAUGGGUCCCAAUGGGUCCCAAUGGGUCACUAUGGGUCUCUGUGGGCCUCUAUGGGAUCUCUGUGGGUCCCUAUGGGGUCCCUAUGGGUCUCUGUGGGGUCUGUAUGUGUCUCUAUGUGUUCCUAUGGGUCCCUAUGGGUCUCUAUGGGUCUCUAUGGAUCACUAUGGAGUCCCCAUGGGGUCCCUAAGGGUCCCUAUGGGUUCCUAUGGGUCCCUAUGUGUCCCUAUGGGUCCCUAUGUGUCCCUAUGGGUCCCUAUAGGUCACUAUGGGUCUCUAUGGGGUCCCUAUGUGUCCCUAUGGGUCCUUAUGGGUCCCUAUGGGUCCCUAUGGGUUCCUAUGGGUUCCUAA
rnacentral:lncRNA from 1 species